rnacentral:lncRNA from 1 species
GGGUCCCGCUUGCCCCAUGGCGUGCCCCACGGCUGCCCCACAGCGUGCCUGGGGGUCAUGCUGCUCCACGGCUGCCCCACAGCGCACCCCAUGGCGUCACGCUGCCCCAUGGUCUGCCCCAUGGCCCACCUGGGGGUCACACCGCCCCGCGGCUGCCCCACGGCGUGCCCUAUGGCAUCACGCGGCCCCACGGCUGCCCCACGGCCUUGCGCUGCCCCGUGAUCUGCCCCACGGCCCCCCAUGGCAUCACGCUGCCCCACGGCGUCACGCUGCCCCAUGGCCUGCCCCACAACCCGCUCUGGGGCCAGCUCGUGCCCCACGUCCCUGCGUCCGCCUGUCUUUCCACCGUCCCCUUGUCCGCCUGUCUCUCCGCCUGCUGCGUGUCCGACUGUCUACGGGCCUCGCGUCCGCCUGUCUCUCCCCCAGCCGCGUGUCCGGUUGUGUAUCCGUCAACCGCACGUCUGCUUGUCUUUCCACUGUCACUGUGUCCGCCUGUGCUUCUCUCAACUGGGUGUCUGCUUGUCUUUCCACCAUCUCUGUCUGCCUGUCAGCAGCAUGUUCGCUUGUUCUUAUUGCGCUUGUGUCCGGUUGUCUUUGUACCAACCACGUGUCUGACUGUCUUACUACCCAGUGCAUGUCCGGGUGUCUUUCCGGUGUCUGCUUGUCUCCCCACUGUCCACCUGUUUCUUUCAACUGUGUGUCCGCUUGUCUCUUUGCCUGUCUCUUCCUUGUUCCCCUGUCCGCUUGUUUCCCCGCCAAACGUGUCUGCUUGUGUCUCUGUCUGUUUGUCUGUCUGUUCUUCUGCUUGUCUCUGUGCUGUCCUCAUGUCUACCUGUCUCUCUGCCGUCCUCACGUCCGCCUGUCUCUCUGCCUACCCCGUCCCGGUCCCUCUGCGCUGGCCCCGGACCUYGGCGUCCCCCCUGCGUCUGUCCUUGUCCCCCCAUGCCGACCCCGUGUCUGUCUGUCUGCGUCCCUGCGUGUCCCCCGUGUCUCUCUGUCCCUCCAUGUCCUUCCGUCCCCAACGCCAUCCCUGUGUCCAUCCGCCUCGCGUGUCUUUCCGUCCCCAACACUGUCCCCGUGUCCCUCUGUUCCUCCGUGUCUUUCCAUUCCUGCAUCCUUCCGUCCCCAACGCCGUCCCCGUGUCCCUCUGUCCCCCGUGUCCAUCCAUCCCCAACGCCGUCCCUGCGUCCGUCCGUCUUGCGCGUCCUUCCGUCCCCAACGCUGUCACUGCGUCUGUCCAUCUCCCAUGUUGUUCCGUUCCUCUGUGUCCUUUCAUCUCCGUGUUUCUCUGUCCCCAGUGCCGUCCCCGUGUCCCUCUUUCCCCGUGUCCAUCCUUCUCCCACGUUCUUCCACGUCCUUCCAUCCCUCCAUCCCCAAUGCCGUCCCCGUGUCCGUCUGUCCCUCCAUUUUUCCAUCCCCAUCGUUGUUCCUUGUGUCCAUCCAUCUUUCAUGUUCUUCUGUUCUCUUAUUCCUCCGUCUUUCCGUCCCCGUGUCCAUCUGUCCCCCGUGUCCUUCCAUCCCCACGUCU